rnacentral:tRNA from 1 species
CUAAAUGAUGAAUCAAAAAUUUCUAUGGAAUUCUGAAAGAUGGAAAAAUUUUUUGGAUCGAAUCAUAUUAUUA